rnacentral:tRNA from 1 species
UUCCCGGCGGUCCAAUGGAUAGGACUUUGCACUUUCACUGCAGUGGCCUGGGUUCAGUCCCUGGUCAGGGAA